UGGGGAAUAUUGCGCAAUGGGCGAAAGCCUGACGCAGCGACGCCUCGUGAGGGAUGAAGGUCUCCGGAUCGUAAACCUCUGUCAAGAGGGAAGAAACCUUUGGAUUCGAACAGGGUCCUUAGCUGACGGUACCUCUAAAGGAAGCACCGGCUAACUCCGUGCCAGCAGCCGCGGUAAUACGGAGGGUGCAAGCGUUAAUCGGAAUCACUGGGCGUAAAGCGCUCGUAGGCUGUUUGGUAAGUCAGGCGUGAAAGCCCGCGGCGUAACCGCGGAACUGCGUUUGAUACUGCCAGACUUGAGUGUCGGAGAGGGUGGCGGAAUUCCGGGUGUAGGAGUGAAAUCCGUAGAUAUCCGGAGGAACACCAGUGGCGAAGGCGGCCACCUGGACGACAACUGACGCUGAGGAGCGAAAGCGUGGGUAGCAAACA
rnacentral:rRNA from 1 species